AUAACAAUAUAUAAGAUAAUAACAAACAAGAAUGUGUCCAUAGUACACGGAUGCCCCACUCGCACUAUCAUUUUCUAUGUUCAGUGGACCGUGAAAUUGGGGUCAAAAUUAUAAUUUGGAAUUAUAAUUAGAAAGAUCAUAUCAUAGGGAACAUGUGUACUAAGUUUCAAGUUGAUGUAACUUUAACUUCAUCAAAAACUACCUUGACCAAAAACUUUAACCUGAACUUCGCACUAUCAUUUUCUAUGUUCAGUGGACCAUGAAAUUGGGGUCAAAACUAUAAUUUGGCAUUAAAAUUAGAAAGAUCAUAUCAUGGGGAAC
rnacentral:lncRNA from 1 species